UCUGAUAGGGUGCAGGGGACUCCAAGUUUAGCAGCUAUGUGCGUUUGAAAACGUUGUGAAUUGUAACUCAAAUUGUGCUCACAAUGGAGUCAGUCUAUUCCCAUAUGACAAACACAUGCUUAGGAUAAUGCUGCAAUUAGCAGUGCGGCCACAGCGAUGGAGAGCUGCGCAAGAGGAAUGGAAGCGGGGCAAGGUUGUGACAGUUCAUUAGACACAAGUGCCUGUGUUACCCUGCUGCGGCGGCUCUCAGCCCUGGAGGGCUGUUUUCUGCGGACUAAUGCCAGAUCUUCUCCUUGAUAUCUGAUUCAUCUGGACAUUUAACAAUCCAAGGAUGAAGCUACUUUCCCUGUGCUGUCUGUCACACCACGAGAACCUCUUCAUUUCCUCCACACCGGCUGAGAUCUUCCUGCCUCCACAAUGGCAUUUUGUGGCCGCUCUUAUAGCGUACUCCUCUGGAUCUGCCAGCUGUGUUUUUGGACUGCAGCCAUUCCUGGAAGGUGAGGGACGUUUGGUUGUUUUGAUGAGGCUCAGGAAGUGGCUGUGGCAGACAUUCCCCGCUCUUUCCAGAAGAACAGUGGAGCUGACAGGCACACCCAGCUGUCCCCACCAUGACCCAGUCCACUGAGGCUCCCAUGCCAGCAGGGGUGACCCGACAUGGGACUACUGGGACGCGCUUGAAAGGGGAUGGCGUGUCAGUCCACCUUCUAAUAAUGUUGCCUUACAUGCACAACUCAUGCAAACUUUUCAUUACAAUUUGUAUUUGCUGUGUUAUUGUUCGAGCUAUGCAGGCAGAUUUUUUUUUACAUUUUGCAUUUGGUGGUGAUGCAAAGUGAUGAUGGUGGAGUAGAAUGAGUUUAGUUUAGUUGACUCUUGAGGGAGAGUGAGAUAUUUUACUUUAAUAUAAUAGUUUUUUUACUUUUACAUUUAUUUUUUCAGUGCUAAAUAUUUUAGAAGCAUUUUAAGACCCCUGGGUUGCAUAAGCGUGGUCUGGAAGCAAGUUGAUUUGAAUGAACUGGAAAAAGGUGCACAUCUCACCUGCCUAGCGAGCUAAACAAAUGACAUACUCCACACUUCAAGCACAUUGGGGGCAGACUUGUAUCACUGAAAUUUACAAUGCGUAGCAACCCAUUACUUGUUGACUUCAAGUUUCAAUGAAUUUCCGUUACGUUAAGUGAACAGACUACCUGCGGAAUGAUAUGACAGAUGUGAAUUGGAAGCACAAAACCUGUUGCCAAUGGCGGCGGUCAUUAUUUGUUUUGCAGCAGUCACAUCAGACCUCUGAACGUUGGGGUGGCCCAUUCAAAUCAAUGGGACAUUUUGCAACAUUCUGAGGACUCGUAUUAUAAUGAUGUUGUUUUAACGUCUGAUUAACCUUUUGCAUAUUUAUGGCACCUGAUGGCCACUGUAGCUUCUCCUGCAUGCUUGAAAAGGGAGAAGUAUUCAGUUGUUUGCAACCUGCAGCCUCACCACUAUACGCCACUAAAUCCUACAUGCUGUGCCUUUAACCGAUGGGCUUGUCACUAACUGCAGGAUAGCCAAGCUGUUGCUGCAGUAACUCACUAUCCCCUCUUGAAGUACAAAGUAGUAUUAUGAGAGGACUAACUAGCUGGUUAGCAUGCUAGAUAUCUUGGCAACACAGUACAUAAGCAUUUUGGACCUUAUGAUAUUUUUUGAGCAUUUUUUAAUGUUUUAAACAAACAUUCUUGCAUAUAGCACCUUUUAAAGAGUGAUAUUAGAUAUAUAUCUUUCAGACCAUGGCCAUGGCAACCUAGUCUUAUCUAGUUCAUAAUUCAAUUAGGCCUACAUAAUCUUUUCAAAAAAGUAUACAUAAUUAAGUCAGUUUGUAAAAUGCUAUUUAUGAAAUAAUUCAGUAUACGUUUAAACCACUGACUAUAUUUUCAAUGUUUAGAAUCUGACUAUGGUUCAAGCCUUCUUAACUCAGAUUUGUCAUUUCAACCCCCUGUGGCACAUGAUCAAGUUCUCCAUCCUCCUCAGAUCUCGAUGUGGGUAUGAGUUCACUGUGCCACAUUCUCUGAGCAAAGAGCAAGUUUGGUUUCUCUCUGUAACCGAAUCGCAAGAAAAUGAGCCACAAAUAAGCUUCAAUAAAAGACAGGGAAUACCCGUCCUCCUCUAAUUGAGGUUAACACUUCAUAGCUGAAGGCUGCAGGCUAUCCCAUCAGAUCCCUUUCAGAAAACCAAUAUCAGGGGCAGGGUCUAAUAACAGACAUCGAUAUCUGUCAUUAUCAUGCGCAACCGCCUCAAGGCUGGCUAUGAACAGGCUGACACCUAGACACAGCCUGGUUUUAGAUCACAUAUUUUACCACCAUAAUCAAACUAUUAUGAGGGCUUCGUAGGAUUUACUUUCCCAAACUAAGAAUAGUUUAGAAAAAUCAUAAAAUGAUGCAGUAAAGGUGAUUGGUGCUUUGGACCCAGAGAGUAAACCUGAACGCUCAGUUCCCUCACCACUGAAUGGGUUUGAGUGGAGAGGUUUGCUGCCAGCCUACACACACACACACACACACACACACUUUUGAUCAAUAGUGACCCAGUUCAGGAACUUCCUCCAUCAGUGCCUGAAGAGGCACCAGGCGUUUGGAUGAAAAUUACAUUCUUUCAGUCAAUUUCCAGGGCUGUGUCCUCAGCUGCCUGACAAACGGCGGCAUUAAUCCACUUCAUGUCAAACAAAAUGUCUGAUUUAUGUCACAGAUUUGGAUUAGGAUGUAAUACACGUCCGAGCGAGGGGAAAAAGGUGCCAUUUCUCAGUGUGCUUGUUUCUCAGGCACUCGGCAUGCUCACGUGCAACCUUUCAAACAUUCGCUUCUUAUCUCAGUGGAAGCAUGUGCUGGAUCCCCUCGUUCCUCUUGUGGGCCUGUGGUAUUCAAAUAUUCCUCCCCUGCAUACACAUCAGAAAUGAAUAGGGUGCCAUAGCAUGAAUAAUGCAUCGCUGGGGAGGACUGAUUUAUGAAUCAAACCUUUGAACCCCCUCCAGUUCAUCAAAACGGGUGGGGUCUGAAAAGGAAGCCAGUGUAUUGUGUGACUGACGACAGACCUUGGUGAGUUAUCUCCUUUACUGGGUUAUACAAACACAGCCCAAGCAGAACACCCAGCAGCCCCCCAUUCCUCUCCCCCCACUCCCCCCUCUCUAUUCUUCAAGCUGGGAUGCGUUUGUGGCCGGGCCCAUGUAACAAGGCAUGACGGCUCACUGAUGUAUGGUAAGCACUGCGGAUUGUGUGGACCUUUUAAGGAUUACUGAAAGUAAUGUGUGACAGGGGCCACAGUUGUAUUAGAUAUGCAGGGAGAAGGGAGAGGUACACUUUUCAGUAGUAGCUCAUAUUUUUUUUUAUUGUAUGCUUGUGAUUAUACAAUGAAAGGGAAAUAGACUGUCAGUAUGACACACAACUCUUGUCAUUUGUAAUGUUAGUUCCAAUAAAAUAAACACAUUCCACAAAAGCAAGUAUGAACGAAGCACAAAGACAAAACUAAAUAUGAUCUUACCUACAAAAUGUAUAUCAUGUAUGUUAUAAUGUGCCAUGUGAGAGACAAUAUAUUGGCAGACAAAAUAAGAUCAUAAACUAGUCCCGUAAUCAAGUUACAGAAGUGGUAGACUGGAAUGGCUGUGUGGGUAAAUCUAAUUACCCCUUCCUAAUAAAACACACACUGCAACAGAAGCCAUGUUUUUAUGGUCGAAAUUCAAUAAUCACAGAGUGCUUUUCUACUGAAUUCCAUUCAGUGGACAAUGAACUUCAAUUCUACUUAAGCGAUCAAUGCCUGGGGGAACACAACAAUGCAUGUAGAGUGCACAGGCUUUCUACUUAAAUGUCUUUUCUAAUGGAGGAAUUUUUUCUCUGUCACUUUUGUUUUUGCUUUUGCUGUGCUUGUCCCACACAUCAUCAGC
ensembl:lncRNA